rnacentral:rRNA from 1 species
GACGAACGCUGGCGGCGUGCUUAACACAUGCAAGUCGAACGGAAAGGCCCUGCUUUUGUGGGGUGCUCGAGUGGCGAACGGGUGAGUAACACGUGAGUAACCUGCCCUUGACUUUGGGAUAACUUCAGGAAACUGGGGCUAAUAUCGGAUAGGAGCUCCUGCUGCAUGGUGGGGGUUGGAAAGUUUCGGCGGUUGGGGAUGGACUCGCGGCUUAUCAGCUCGUUGGUGGGGUAGUGGCUUACCAAGGCUUUGACGGGUAGCCGGCCUGAGAGGGUGACCGGCCACAUGAGGACUGAGAUACGGCCCAGACUCCUACGGGAGGCAGCAGUGGGGAAUAUUGCACAAUGGGCGGAAGCCUGAUGCAGCAACGCCGCGUGCGGGAUGACGGCCUUCGGGUUGUAAACCGCUUUCGCCUGUGACGAAGCGUGGGUGACGGUAAUGGGUAAAGAAGCACCGGCUAACUACGUG